UUUCAUACGCCAGCAGUUGCUUAGAAAGCUGUUGAGUGGCCAGGCACAUUUCAUUCUGAAACUGCUCCCAAUGUAAUGGAAAAACCUGCCAGGGAGCUGCCAGGGUCAGACCGCACCCAGG